CAACCCUCGAACCCCUCCGGGGGUCCGGCGUUGGGGAUCGGCCCUUUACCGGCCGGCCCCGAAAUACAGUGGCGGUCUCGCCGCAGCCUCUCCUGCGCAGUAGUUUGCACACUCGCAUCGGGAGCGCGGCGCGUCCACGCCCGUAAAACACCCAACUUCUGAAAUG
rnacentral:rRNA from 1 species